ensembl:lncRNA
CGAGUCUGUGGUUUGACUAUGGUUUCCUGGCUGACCUUCUGGUUUGAUCUCGGACCUGUCUCAGGAGGCUGUUUGGUGAUGCAGACUCUCCACCUGAACCUGGCAGCCAUCUUUGGGUUUGCUCAACUCACCUCACUAGGGUUAUAUGUGCACCAGGUACUACUGCUCUGUCUGGCAGAUGGAGCCCUGGAGUGUGAGUAGCUGAGCUGCAGAAGUUCAGUAUCUCAAAAAUUGGAUCAGAAUUCUGGGAAGGCAGUGAGGAUACGGAGUAACAGAGCCAUUCCCUUGGCCACCAGUGGAUUCAUGCAAAGUGUAGGAUGUGAGGACAUACCAAGGACAGCUGGGGGGGACUAUGAUAAGACCCAUUAAAACACGGAUGGUGCAAAUAUCGUGGAGCGGAAAUAACUAGCAGAAGUUAUGCAGUAUGAUUAUCAACCAGAGGGCUAACGAAGAAAAGCAAAGUAUUUCAUUUUGCACUCAGAAACUACCUAAAUAAAUCCUUACCAGCUGAUAUUCUGCACUACAACUGGUUCAAAGAAGGAAUUAGACAAGUUAAUAGGUCUGUCAAGAGCUAUCGAACGCACUGGCUGAAUCACAGAUGUCCAGAUAAGGAUGCUGUAAACCAUUUAUUUCUUAAAACCGCAAGGAUGUAACAUGUAGCAACUCCUCUGCAACUGCCUUGCUUCCAAAACCCUUUCCCCUGCUCCCCGUUGCCAGUCACCGUGGAGAUGUGACCCUGAGUGGGAUGGAUUCUUGGUCUCACCCAAUAGAACAGAGAAAACUGCUGCAAUGCAUUCUGGUCUUGAACGCUUAGUCUGCAUCCUUUUCAUUAGGAGAAAAAUAAUGGGUUGAAACUGAGUUUCUCAGUUUACAUUUUAAUACAAUUUCUAUUGCUGCCUUGUUGUUUCUAUCUCGUUCACCAAAGAUCUGAUCCGAAUCCUUCUGAAGCAUUUCUCUAAAAUAAGCACAUACAAUUCCUUUGUAAAGAUCUAUCAUGGAGCUUCCAGAAGUAUUAAAUUUCCUUCUUGAGAUCUGAUCUACUUCAUUCAAACCAUCCAUUACAUUCUCCUAAACGGAGCACAGGAGAGCAGAAACUGAAUUCUAAUGUUCUUUGGAAAUGUAAUUUAUCCAUCUGUAAAAUAAAAUUGAGGAUAUUUUCUCUUAUGAAAACAUUACAGCGCUGCUGAGAAGUAAAUCUAAUUUUGCCUUGAGAUUUGUGUACCUAAAAUAUUCACCAUGACAAAAAUAAAUAUGCAGUGUAUUUGCAGUACGCUAAAAGAGACAGUCCUAUUGCAUGGGAUUAUGCAAACUAAUUCUAAAAGAGAAGAGCCCCCCCACAAAAGGGGGAAAUAAUUCGUACAGCCGUUUCUUUCAGAGAAGACACAAGGUCAUCAUGUGAACUUCUACAAUAGGAAGCAAACUUCUUAGUCAGGGGCUAAGAAUACGAGAGUCCUGUGAUAUCUGUAGGCGUCAAGAAACACAGGCGUGUGGGCUUCUUACAAUAUUGACCUGCUUUUCUUCAAAUGCCUUAAGAACCACAGCCUAAGUUCCUUCUUGUGUGUUUCAGUUCGUAUGUUUUCCACUAUCGAUGACCGAGAAAAUACACGACAUCUGUGCGUCUCCAGGUGUUUUGCCAGGCACAACAGAGUUGAGCUUCAUUACACCUUCCCACAGCUUUUCCAUCACUGUGUAAUCAGGCAGGACAGAAAAAGCUGAGGGCGUGCCCCUUCCCUCUCACCUUAGUUGCUCUCUCUCCUCGCAUGAACACAUGCAGCUUGAUAUUAGCAAAGGAUUUAACUAUCGCUCCAUUUUAAUAUGAAUUAUGCGUUAAAAAUUUCAAAAUACCUGCUCAGUAACUAAGUGCCAUUGGCCAUAAAAAGGCAUCGCUGCAGUCUCUCUGUCAGUGCUGCAGCCACAGCUCUUUGGAUCUCUUUGCCACACAUUAACUCAGCGACCUUGGAUGAGCUGUGGAAGUUUACUGGGUCCCAGCAUAAACACUUACAGGAAGGAAGUGCAAGAUCAAAAUGGAAUCGGAUGCUGUGAGAUGCACACACGAUCCCACCACUACGUUUUGCAUUGUUUUCAGGUCCCCCAGGUUCUACAGGGCUGCUGUUUUACCAGUUUUAAUGAGUGAAUUUUAUCUAUAAUUUCCUUCCGAAGUCGUGAAGUCAAAAUUUAACAUAAAAGCACCUCGCUGCAUGUUCUGGCUUGAAGGCAGAAGAGCAAGGACCGAAGGUCAAUGAAUCAAUGCAGUAUUAUUUAUAACAUACACUCAGAAUGCAUUAAAAAACACCAGGCAGCCUGAACCGAGAGCUAAUUCACCGCAUUUCCUGGAGCGCUCAGACCACAGGCCUUUACGACAUGCCGGUUUCAAGCUCCGUCCUACUCCUCCAGCCCCCAGUUCGUGCUGUGACCGUGUCCUGUUCCUCCAUGGUUCUUAUCUACUCGACCUCGUCUCCCCCCAGCAUCUCACUGACGAGACUGCAGAAACGCUCGAUAACGACUAUGUAGAGGAAAUUCUCUUCCAUCACAGCUGCUCCCGUCAGAGGGAACCCCAGCGCUGCCCAGCCCCUCAUUCGCCGACGGGGAGCGCCCGCUGCGGACUUGCAGCGCCGCACCCCUCGGCGCUGUGCGGCUGAAGGAGCCGC